rnacentral:rRNA from 1 species
GGUUCUUUGACAAAAAUAAAGAAUCUCACCUGCCCGGUGAUGAAGAUUUAACGGCCGCGGUAAUUUAACUGUGCGAAGGUAGCAUAAUCAAUUGUCUAUUAAAUGUAGACUGGAAUGAAUGGUAGAACUAGAGAUUGAUUGUCUUAGGGGAAUAAUUUGAAAUUUACAUUUUCUUGAGGAGGAGAGAAAUGGUUUAGAGGGACGAGAAGACCCUAUUGAGCUUUAUAUAAAGGGAUAUUAUUAUGUUGUAGAAAAUUUAAUAGAACUAUUAUUUUGCUGGGGCGGUGGAGAGACAAAAAUAACAACUUUAAUGGAAAUACAUGUAAGUGAAAUUAUGACCCAAUAAAAUUGAGUGUAAGACUAAGUUACUGUAGGGAUAACAGCGUAAUGUCAUUUUGAAGUACAGAUUUAUAAUGAAGAUUGCGACCUCGAUGUUGGUUUAGGAAACUUAUUUGGUGCAAAUGCUAAAUUAAGGAGUCUGUUCGACUAUUAAAUUCCUAUA